rnacentral:rRNA from 1 species
CCUACGGGGGGCAGCAGUGGGGGAUAUUGCACAAUGGGGGGAACCCUGAUGCAGCGACGCCGCGUGGGCGAUGGAGUGCUUCGGCAUGUAAAGCCCUAUCAGCAGGGAAGAAAAUGACGGUACCUGACUAAGAAGCCCCGGCUAAAUACGUGCCAGCAGCCGCGGUAAUACGUAUGGGGCAAGCGUUAUCCGGAUUUACUGGGUGUAAAGGGCGUGUAGCCGGGUUGACAAGUCAGAUGUGAAAUCCUGCAGCUUAACCGCAGAACUGCAUUUGAAACUGUUGAUCUUGAGUACUGGAGAGGCAG